UACGGAGGGAGCUAGCGUUGUUCGGAUAUACUGGGCGUAAAGCGCACGUAGGCGGCGCAGCAAGUCAGGGGUGAAAUCCCGGAGCUCAACUCCGGAACUGCCUUUGAAACUGCAGUGCUAGAAUCUUGGAGAGGCGAGUGGAAUUCCGAGUGUAGAGGUGAAAUUCGUAGAUAUUCGGAAGAACACCAGUGGCGAAGGCGACUCGCUGGACAAGUAUUGACGCUGAGGUGCGAAAGCGUGGGGAGCAAACAGG
rnacentral:rRNA from 1 species